rnacentral:hammerhead_ribozyme from 1 species
AUCCGGCUGACGAGUCCUAAAUAGGACGAAACGCGCGUCCCGUAU